CACCUCUAGCCUUACUAGUAUUAGAGGCACUGCCUGCCCAGUGACACAUGUUUAAUGGCCGCGGUACCCUGACCGUGCAAAGGUAGCAUAAUCACUUGUUCUUUAAAUAGGGACUUGUAUGAAUGACAACACGAGGGUUCAACUGUCUCUUACUUUCAACCAGUGAAAUUGACCUGCCCGUGAAGAGGCGAACAUAAAAUAAUAAGACGAGAAGACCCUGUGGAGCUUCAAUUUACUAAUGCAACCAAAACCAACACAAAUCUACGGACUUAGCAUACUCUGCCCCUGCAUUAGAAAUUUUGGUUGGGGUGACCUUGGAGCAUAAUUAAACCUCCGAAUAAACUAUGCCAAGACUACACAAGUCAAAGCGAAUCAGUAUCUAUAAUUGACCCAAUAACUUGACCAACAGAACAAGUUACCCCGGGGAUAACAGCACAAUCCUAUUCCAGAGUUCAUAUCGACAAUAGGGUUUACGACCUCGAUGUUGGAUCAGGACAUCCUAAUGGUGCAGCAGCUAUCAAGGGUUCGUUUGUUCAACGAUUAAAGUCCU
rnacentral:rRNA from 1 species